CAACGGGCGAGACAUGUUAACGCGGCAAGUCUACGGUCUCUCUUUCUCUCGAUCCAAAUCCAAUAGCUUUCCCUUUCUUCUUGCUCUCUCAUUAUUUGCUGCACUUAUUACUCUUGAUCAAAGCUUGUGAGUUGACCAACAAAAGAUCAAAGCUUUUGCCUGGCAUAUAGCGCUAUGAGUGGUGGGAUUCGCACAAGCGUGAAAGGAUACAUUAAUGCGAAACGCGUCACUUUGACGUUGGAGCCGACAGAUGAGAACAAAGAGAAUGAGAUCAUAACUAGACAUUUGAGGAGUGAGACCCUAUUAGAUGCUGCUGCUGGUUGCUUGGAUAAGAAGCCAGCUGAAGUUCCUCAUGACCUACCAUGGCUGAGCUCUGCGGCCUCUAAUUUUGAAUUAGAAUGCAUAGAAACUCCUCAUACAUGGAUUGGAGGAAUGGAUCCUGCUCUACUGGACGAUAUUAUCAGACGGUUUUUUAACCGAUCAGCUGCACGGCCGUUCUUAAAUCUGGUAUCUGAGUCUGAGGUGAUGCAGCUUUGUCAUUGUUCCAGAGAAAUCAUGCUUUAUACUUGAUCUUAAAUCACCUAUCAGCAUUAUCGGCGAAAAAUUUAGUGAACGAUUAUCAACCCAGGUUAAAGACUGGGAGUGUACCAUCACGGAAGCUAGUGGCAGUGCCAAUUAUUUAGCUUACGUGUUCUUGGGUGACUUUAUGGAAUUUGCGGAGGGGAGUAAAUGUUUAUUGCUUGCUUAUAAGGUUAAGUAUCCGAACAACGUUUUUCUUCUUAGGGGAGAUGAUGAAUGUGCUACAAAUCAGAGAUACGCAACAAGUUUCAGAAGCGAGCUGUGGGAAAUCUUCAACGACUGUUUUAACUGCAUUCCUGUGGCAGCUAUUGUAGACGGCAGGUUCAUUCCAAAACCCACAAUUGAUGAAGAGAGGUUUCCAUCUCACUCUCCUCUCUAUUUCUGACCACCAAACUGAAUAAAUUAAAUGGAAACACCAGGCAUCGGGCAAGAUUAAACAAAGGUGCAUGAUAAGCUAAAAAUGAUGUGUAUUUAUCAUUUUCCUGCAAGUGACAAGGGGUUGGUUUGAUAUAGGGACUAGACCUGUACUUAAGGAUGGGGAUUUGCUGAAUGAAUGCUAAUUAAGAAAUCUACAUAUGUUGGAAUGAAAACUUCUCUAUCUUUUAGUCA